CUUUAAUACUUUUGUGGACAUUUGAUUUCUAAAGUGGCAUCUAUGGAAGAAUAAAUAUUUACCUCUGACGAAAAUACAGCUUCUGUUCCUACUUCCAACUCUCCUCCCUAGCCUGAGGCCAGAGACACAAUUUUAGUUAUUCUUAUAUUCAGGGUCAUGGCCCAGGGCCGUAAUAAGAAUAUACAACAUGUACAAGUUAAUAAUUGAAUUGUUUCAGACUUUUCUGUGAGCUUGAAUACAUAACUAAAUCUCGACAAAACAAACAAAAGUUCCAACCUGUUUCAAAAACAUCAAACAUUAACUAUUAACCACACUUUAAAUUCAAAUAUUGUGAUUAAAAAAAU